AGGCGCAAAGCUACACAGAGAAACCGUGUCUCAAAAAACCGGAAAAAAAAAAAAAAAGAGAGAAAAGAAAAGAGAAGAAAAGAAAUUUUACAGGCACCUUGGAGAGCAGAAGACUGUAACUGGAUGAGAUGUCAGGAAGAUGCUUGAGCUGGACAUGGUCACUGUGGUGGUUUCGAUGAGAAGGCCCCCGGAGGCUUAUAGAUUUGGACCCUGCUGCUGGCACAGGAUGAUUGAAUUUCUCUGAGGGAUUGGCUAUGAAGUAUGUUGAAGGCUUGGUCUUCAAUGCAGUGCGGAGAAGUGAAGCUUUGGACAUGUGAUGGGAUCAGGAGAGUGCUGACCUAAUCAAUGGAUUAGGUGAUUGAUGGACUAUUGAGAGAUGGUAGAAACUGUGGAAGGAUCCCCCUUCACUGCUGCUGGCGGCAGGCCUGGGCUGCACCUCUGCUGACAUCUUUGGCGGCCCGGCCUGCCUGUGGGUUCCUCUAAACCACUGUUGCUUCAAAAUAACCCUCAGGACAAGGUCUCCUACACAGUGUGAGGAGGAUACAGUCCAUCAUUGCGCGGAAAUCAAGCAUCAGGAGCCCAAAGCCUCUGGUCACAUUGCAGCUACAGUCAAGAAGAGAGAGAUGGAGCAGUGUGGAGGUCUGAAGACUCGAUGUCCACCACGGACAGGCUCCUGUCCUGUCUAUGCAGUCCCCAAAUGCUGGCCCUAUUUUGAAAGGCUGUGAUGAUUAAUCUCCCUUGUUAACUUGACAAGUCACCAAGGAGGCAAGCCUCCAGGUACACCUGUGAGUGGUUAUCUAGAUUAGGUUGAGCUGGCUGUGACAGUGAGGGGUGACAAGGUCCCACCCUAAAGGACAGUGACACCAUUCUCUGGACUUGAGUCUUGGAUUGUAUGGUGGCACACACCUUUAGUCCCAACACUGGGCAGGCAGAGAUAGGUGGAUCUCUGUGAAUUUGAGGCUAGCCUGGUCUACACAGUAAGCCCAGGCCAACUAGGAGCUAGUAAGACUCUGUCUCAAAAAAAAAAAAAAAAAAAAGCCUUGUGAAUUUCCCAACAUGAUGGACUGAACCCCUGGGACUGUGAACCAAAACAUGUUCCUCCCUCACAUUAUUUUUGCCAAGGUGUUUUGUCCCAGCAAGUGUUAAAACAAGGUAGCUACACCGUGGAAACGUCAGAAAGUCUGGCUGGAUGAAGAGGGCUUGUGGGGGGGGCGGGUCUGCAGCUCACCAUUUUCUUUAUUCCCAUUCUCUGCUCUCUGGCUGCCCUGCUGUGAGCUGCUCCUCCCCUGUGCUGACUCGCCACGGUUGUGUGAUCCUUCAUCUGGAUUGCUGACUUUAAAAAUUACGUUAAUUUGGGCUGGAGGGAUAGCUCAGUCGUUAAAGGCUAGGCUCACAACCAAAAAUAUAAGAGUUCGGUUCCCAGCACCCACGGCUAUCCCUCCGGCUACCAGAGAGAGAUGGCUCAGAGGUUAA